GAGUUUGAUCAUGGCUCAGGACGAACGCUGGCGGCGUGCUUAACACAUGCAAGUCGAACGAGGUUCAUGCAGUCGCAAGACUGCGGAAGACCGAGUGGCGAACGGGUGCGUAACACGUGAGGAACCUGUCCCGGUCUCUGGAAUAACAAGUGGAAACACUUGCUAAUACCGGAUGCCGUCGGUCCAUCGCAUGGUGGACUGACGAAAGGGUUACCGGAUCGGGAGGGUCUCGCGGCCUAUCAGCUUGUUGGUGAGGUAAUGGCUCACCAAGGCAUCGACGGGUAGCUGGUCUGAGAGGAUGAUCAGCCACACUGGGACUGAGACACGGCCCAGACUCCUACGGGAGGCAGCAGUGGGGAAUCUUGCACAACGGGCGAAAGCCUGAUGCAGCAACGCCGCGUGCGGGAAGAAGGCCCUAGGGUUGUAAACCGCUUUCAGCAGGGAAGAAGAUGACGGUACCUGUAGAAGAAGGUGCGGCCAACUACGUGCCAGCCGCCGCCGUAAG
rnacentral:rRNA from 1 species